rnacentral:rRNA from 1 species
GAUGAACGCUGGCGGCGUGCCUAAUACAUGCCAGUCGAGCGAACGGACGAGAAGCUUGCUUCUCUGAUGUUAGCGGCGGACGGGUGAGUAACACGUGGAUAACCUACCUAUAAGACUGGGAUAACUUCGGGAAACCGGAGCUAAUACCGGAUAAUAUUUUGAACCGCAUGGUUCAAAAGUGAAAGACGGUCUUGCUGUCACUUAUAGAUGGAUCCGCGCUGCAUUAGCUAGUUGGUAAGGUAACGGCUUACCAAGGCAACGAUGCAUAGCCGACCUGAGAGGGCGAUCGGCCACACUGGAACUGAGACACGGUCCAGACUCCUACGGGAGGCAGCAGUAGGGAAUCUUCCGCAAUGGGCGAAAGCCUGACGGAGCAACGCCGCGUGAGUGAUGAAGGUCUUCGGAUCGUAAAACUCUGUUAUUAGGGAAGAACAUAUGUGUAAGUAACUGUGCACAUCUUGACGGUACCUAAUCAGAAAGCCACGGCUAACUACGUG